GCUGGCGGCACGCCUUAUACAUGCAAGUCGAACGAAGUAGCAAUACUUAGUGGCAGACGGGUGAGUAACAUGUGGGUAUCUUCCCUUUGGUGAGGAAUAACACGAGGAAACUUGUGCUAAUACCUCAUAAGUCUUUACGGAGAAAGCUUUAUGCGCCAAUGGAUGAGCCCGCACUUGAUUAGUUUGUUGGUGGGGUAAUGGCCUACCAAGACUUUGAUCAAUAGCUGAUCUGAGAGGAUGAUCAGCCACAUUGGGACUGAGACACGGCCCAAACUCCUACGGGAGGCAGCAGUAGGGAAUAUUGCACAAUGGAGGAAACUCUGAUGCAGCGAUGCCGCGUGAGUGAAGAAGGCCUUUGGGUUGUAAAGCUCUUUCGUCGGGGAAGAAAAUGACGGUACCCGAAUAAGAAGGUCCGGCUAACUUCGUGCCAGCAGCCGCGGUAAUACGAAGGGACCUAGCGUAGUUCGGAAUUACUGGGCUUAAAGAGUUCGUAGGUGGUUAAAAAAGUUGGUUGUGAAAUCCCGAAGCUUAACUUCGGAACUGCAAUCAAAACUUUUUAGCUAGAGUAUGAUAGAGGAAAGCAGAAUUUCUAGUGUAGAGGUGAAAUUCGUAGAUAUUAGAAAGAAUACCAAUUGCGAAGGCAGCUUUCUGGAUCAUUACUGACGCUGAGGAACGAAAGCAUGGGUAGCGAAGAGGAUUAGAUACCCUCGUAGUCCAUGCCGUAAACGAUGUGUGUUAGACGUUGGAAAUUUAUUUUCAGUGUCGCAGCGAAAGCAGUAAACACACCGCCUGGGGAGUACG
rnacentral:rRNA from 1 species